rnacentral:rRNA from 1 species
AGAGUUUGAUCCUGGCUCAGAUUGAACGCUGGCGGCAUGCCUUACACAUGCAAGUCGAACGGCAGCAUGGAGAGCUUGCUCUCUGAUGGCGAGUGGCGAACGGGUGAGUAAUACAUCGGAACGUGUCCGUUUGUGGGGGACAACCGUCCGAAAGGAUGGCUAAUACCGCAUAAGACCUGAGGGUGAAAGCCGGGGACCGCAAGGCCCGGCGCAGACGGAGCGGCCGAUGAUUGAUUAGCUAGUUGGGGAGGUAAAGGCUCACCAAGGCGACGAUCAAUAGCUGGUCUGAGAGGACGACCAGCCACACUGGAACUGAGACACGGUCCAGACUCCUACGGGAGGCAGCAGUGGGGAAUUUUGGACAAUGGGGGCAACCCUGAUCCAGCCAUGCCGCGUGCGGGAAGAAGGCCUUCGGGUUGUAAACCGCUUUUGUCAGGGACGAAAAGCUCCGGAGUAAUAUGCCGGAGUGCUGACGGUACCUGAAGAAUAAGCACCGGCUAACUACGUGCCAGCAGCCGCGGUAAUACGUAGGGUGCAAGCGUUAAUCGGAAUUACUGGGCGUAAAGCGUGCGCAGGCGGUUGGGUAAGACAGAUGUGAAAUCCCCGGGCUUAACCUGGGAACUGCAUUUGUGACUGUCCGACUGGAGUACGUCAGAGGGGGGUGGAAUUCCACGUGUAGCAGUGAAAUGCGUAGAUAUGUGGAAGAACACCGAUGGCGAAGGCAGCCCCCUGGGACGCAACUGACGCUCAUGCACGAAAGCGUGGGGAGCAAACAGGAUUAGAUACCCUGGUAGUCCACGCCCUAAACGAUGUCUGCUGGUUGUUGGGAAUUUAAUUCUCAGUAACGAAGCCAACGCGUGAAGCAGACCGCCUGGGGAGUACGGUCGCAAGAUUAAAACUCAAAGGAAUUGACGGGGACCCG